rnacentral:rRNA from 1 species
AACGAACGCUGGCGGCAGGCUUAACACAUGCAAGUCGAACGGGUGUAGCAAUACAUCAGUGGCAGACGGGUGAGUAACACGUGGGAACCUUCCUAGGGGUACGGAACAACUCAGGGAAACUUGAGCUAAUACCGUAUACGUCCGUGAGGAGAAAGAUUUAUCGCCCUUAGACGGGCCCGCGUCGGAUUAGCUAGUUGGUGGGGUAACGGCCUACCAAGGCGACGAUCCGUAGCUGAUCUUAGAGGAUGAUCAGCCACACUGGGACUGAGACACGGCCCAGACUCCUACGGGAGGCAGCAGUGGGGAAUCUUGGACAAUGGGCGCAAGCCUGAUCCAGCCAUGCCGCGUGAGUGAAGAAGGCCUUAGGGUUGUAAAGCUCUUUUGCCAGGGACGAUAAUGACGGUACCUGGAGAAUAAGCCCCGGUUAACUACGUGCCAGCCGCCGCAGUAACAC